rnacentral:misc_RNA from 1 species
AAGUCGUAACAAGGUUUCCGGAGGUGAACUAAACGUAAACUAAGUCGUAAAAAGGUAUCCAAACGUUAAACCCCCCCGUGAACCUUCAUCGUGCUCUAGUGGGCCACUGAUAAACACAGCAAUUCCUGGUAAAUCUUUGUCUGAACAAGCCUUUGAGUCAGGAACCUCUGUGCAGUGCGAGCUACACCCACUAUAGAAGCGCUAGUUCCAUCGGCAUUGUUUCCCCAAGCAGCCAGUGCGUGAAAGUGGCAACUGACUGUGCAAGGAUAACGCUUAACGAUUUUGCAGCCGCAACACGCGGGCAGAGCUUUGCCAAAGGGUCCCCAUGCCCCUUCCUUCUGCCGAUUUCACAUACAAAGCUCCAUUUUCAAUUAUGGAUGGGGUAAAACCGAACAACUGUUAACAAUGGAUAUCUUGGUUCUC